rnacentral:ncRNA from 2 species
GAAUGGGGAAGUCGGUGAAAAUCCGACGCUGACCCGCAACCGUGAGCCUGCUUGAGAAUUAGCAGGUAAGUCGGAUUACCA